rnacentral:rRNA from 1 species
CCUACGGGUGGCAGCAGUGGGGAAUAUUGCACAAUGGGCGAAAGCCUGAUGCAGCGACGCCGCGUGAGGGACGAAGGCCUUCGGGUUGUAAACCUCUUUCAGCAGGGAAGCGGUACCUGCAGAAGAAGCACCGGCUAACUACGUGCCAGCAGCCGCGGUAAUACGUAGGGUGCAAGCGUUGUCCGGAAUUAUUGGGCGUAAAGAGCUCGUAGGCGGUUUGUCGCGUCUGCUGUGAAAACUCAGGGCUUAACCCUGAGCCUGCAGUGGGUACGGGCAGACUAGAGUGUGGUAGGGGAGAUCGGAAUUCCUGGUGUAGCGGUGGAAUGCGCAGAUAUCAGGAGGAACACCGGUGGCGAAGGCGGAUCUCUGGGCCAUACUGACGCUGAGGAGCGAAAGCAUGGGGAGCGAACAGGAUUAGAUACCCGUGUAGUC